UACGGAGGGGACUAGCGUUGUUCGGAAUUACUGGGCGUAAAGCGCACGUAGGCGGGUCGUUAAGUCAGGGGUGAAAUCCCAGAGCUCAACUCUGGAACUGCCUUUGAUACUGGCGACCUAGAGUUCGGAAGAGGUUAGUGGAAUUCCCAGUGUAGAGGUGAAAUUCGUAGAUAUUGGGAAGAACACCAGUGGCGAAGGCGGCUAACUGGUCCGAUACUGACGCUGAGGUGCGAAAGCGUGGGGAGCAAACAGGG
rnacentral:rRNA from 1 species